GGAUAUGAGGGUGAUCUGGUUACAACAUCUGUCACCCCUCUUAUCACCACUGAUCUGGCUGGGUCAGCAGGCGCUGCUCUCCCCUCUCCCCACUCCACGUAUGUCCCUCCGGAACUGCUUACUCUUUUAAAGAGGAUGAUCUUCUCUGACAGAGGAGGACUGUUCUUCAGUCAGGGGCAUAUGACAGCUAGAACCUUCAAGCAAGCUCUGAAGGGUCUCACACGCAACAUUACUAAUGUUUACAGUGAGCACAUAUGU
rnacentral:snRNA from 1 species